rnacentral:rRNA from 1 species
UACGUAGGGGGCAAGCGUUAUCCGGAUUUACUGGGUGUAAAGGGAGCGUAGACGGCCAGACAAGUCUGAAGUGAAAAUCCAGCGCUUAACGUUGGAAGUGCUUUGGAAACUGCCGGGCUAGAGUGCAGGAGGGGCAGGCGGAAUUCCUAGUGUAGCGGUGAAAUGCGUAGAUAUUAGGAGGAACACCAGUGGCGAAGGCGGCUUACUGGACUGUAACUGACGUUGAGGCUCGAAAGCGUGGGGAGCAAACAGG